UACGUAGGGUGCAAGCGUGUCCGGAAUUAUUGGGCGUAAAGAGCUCGUAGGCGGUCUGUCGCGUCGGAUGUGAAAAUCAGGGCUCAACCCUGGACCUGCAUUCGAUACGGGCAGACUAGAGUUCGGUAGGGGAGACUGGAAUUCCUGGUGUAGCGGUGAAAUGCGCAGAUAUCAGGAGGAACACCGGUGGCGAAGGCGGGUCUCUGGGCCGAAACUGACGCUGAGGAGCGAAAGCGUGGGGAGCAAACAGG
rnacentral:rRNA from 1 species